GGGGAAUAUUGGACAAUGGGCGCAAGCCUGAUCCAGCCAUGCCGCGUGAGUGAUGAAGGCCUUAGGGUUGUAAAGCUCUUUUGUCCGGGAAGAUAAUGACUGUACCGGAAGAAUAAGCCCCGGCUAACUUCGUGCCAGCAGCCGCGGUAAUACGAAGGGGGCUAGCGUUGUUCGGAAUUACUGGGCGUAAAGCGCACGUAGGCGGAUAUUUAAGUCAGGGGUGAAAUCCCAGAGCUCAACUCUGGAACUGCCUUUGAUACUGGGUAUCUUGAGUAUGGAAGAGGUAAGUGGAAUUGCGAGUGUAGAGGUGAAAUUCGUAGAUAUUCGCAGGAACACCAGUGGCGAAGGCGGCUCACUGGCUCGAUACUGACGCUGAGGUGCGAAAGCGUGGGGAGCAAA
rnacentral:rRNA from 1 species